rnacentral:rRNA from 1 species
UUAAGCUACUAAGGGUGUACGGUGAAUGCCCUGGCAUCAGAAGGCGAUGAAGGACGUAGCUAGCUGCGAUAAGCCCCGGGGAGCCGCAAGCAGGCCGUGAUCCGAGGAUGUCCGAAUGGGGAAACCCAGGCGAUGAAUGCCGCCUAUCCUCUGCUGAAUACAUAGGCAGUGAGAAGCCCACGCAGGGAAGUGAAACAUCUCAGUACCUGCAGGAAUAGAAAUCAAUCGAGAUUCCCCCAGUAGUGGCGAGCGAAAAGGGAACAGCCUAAACUGUGCCGAUGUCAAGCCCGUGUGCGUUGUCGGCGUAGUGUUGUAGGCCUUCAUUGGACGGUGAUACGGAGCCGUCGGCGAGUUACAAAUUAGGAUCGUAGCAGAAUAGUCUGGAAAGGCUGACCAUAGAAGGUGACAGUCCUGUAUGUAAAACGACCCUAACUCGUUGAAUGGAGGUCCUGAGUACCACGGGGCCCGAGAAACCUUGUGGGAAUCUGGGACGACCACGUUCCAAGGCUAAAUACUCUCUGAUGACCGAUAGUGAACCAGUACCGUGAGGGAAAGGUGAAAAGAACCCCGGUGAGGGGAGUGAAAUAGAACCUGAAACCGUACACCUACAAGCAGCGAAAGGGCUAUGCCCGCAAGGGAAUGCCUGAUCGUGUGCCUUUUGCUUAAUGAGCCUGCGAGUUAUUUAGCGUAGCAAGGUUAAGGCGAAGAGCCGGAGCCGUAGCGAAAGCGAGUCCGAAUUGGGCAUUGAGUUGCGCUGAAUAGACCCGAAGCGAAGUGAUCUACCCAUGGCCAAGGCGAAUCCGCCGUAACAGGCGGAGGAGGCCUGAACUGAUGUUAGUUGCAAAUGGCUCGGAUGAGCUGUGGGUAGGGGUGAAAGGCUAAUCAAACUUCGUGAUUGCUGGUUCUCCCCGAAAUAACUAGAGGGUUAGCCUCGUCUCAGCCGUGACGGAGGUAGAGCACUGAAUGAGCUAGGGGCGUUCCAACGCUACCGAACUCAAUCAAACUCCGAAUGCCGUUACUGGACGAACGGGAGUUAGACUACGAGUGCUAAGAUCCGUGGUCAAAAGGGAAAUAGCCCAGACCGUCAGCUAAGGUCCCUAAUCGUGAGCUAAGUGGAAAAGGUUGUAAGAUCGCUCAGACAGCCAGGAGGUUGGCUUAGAAGCAGCCAUCCUUUAAAGAGUGCGUAAUAGCUCACUGGUCGAGCGAUUUUGCGCCGAAAAUGUAACGGGGCUCAAGUUCACAACCGAAGCUACGGACUUGCAUCGCAAGAUGUGAGUGGUAGGGGAGCAUUCUCUGUGCGGUGAAGGUUGACCGACAAGGACAACUGGAGCGCAGAGAAGAGAUUAUGCAGGCAUAAGUAGCGAUAAACGAUGUGAGAAUCAUCGUCCCCGUAAGCCUAAGGUUUCCUGGCCUAUGUUCGUCAGGUCAGGGUGAGUCGGAUCCUAAGCCGAGGUCGACAGACGUAGGCGAUGGCAAACAGGUCAAUAUUCCUGUACCACCGUAUUGACGUUAUCAGCGAAGGGGGGACGCAGAAGGGUAGGCACCGCCGGGUCCCUGGAAUACCCGGUCCAAGCAUGUAGGCGGGAACUGUAGGCAAAUCCGCGGUUCCGUUAACGCCGAGAUGUGAUGGGGAGGCCGCAAGGCCAUAAACGGGCUGAUCCCACGCUGCCGAGAAAAGCCUCGUAGCGAGUCAAUAUGAUGUCCGUACCGCAAACCGACACAGGUAGGUGGGUGGAAUACACCAAGGGGCGUGAGAGAACACUCCCUAAGGAACUAUGCAAUUUAGCCCCGUAACUUCGGGAGAAGGGGUGCCCUGCGUAAGUGAGGCCGUACAGGCCAAGCUGAACAGGGUUGCAAUAAAGUGGCUCUAGCGACUGUUUACCAAAAACACAGGACUCUGCAAACACGAUAGUGGAUGUAUAGGGUCUGACGCCUGCCCGGUGCUGGAAGGUUAACCGGAGGAGUUAGCCGCAAGGCAAAGCUUUGAAGGGAAGCCCCAGUAAACGGCGGCCGUAACUAUAACGGUCCUAAGGUAGCGAAAUUCCUUGUCGGGUAAGUUCCGACCUGCAUGAAUGGCGUAACGA